rnacentral:rRNA from 1 species
UUCGAUUAUGGCUCAGAUUGGACGCUGGCGGGAUGCUUUACACAUGCAAGUCGAACGGCAGCACGGACUUCGGUCUGGUGGCGAGUGGCGAACGGGUGAGUAAUGUAUCGGAACGUGCCUAGUAGCGGGGGAUAACUACGCGAAAGCGUAGCUAAUACCGCAUACGCCCUUCGGGGAAAGCGGGGACCUUCGGGCCUCGCACUGCUAGGAGCGGCCGAUAUCGGAUUAGCUGGGGUUGGUGGGGUAACGCCCACCAAGGCGACGAUCCGUAGCUGGUUUGAGAGGGCGACUGGCCACACUGGGACUGAGACACGGCCCAGACUCCUGGGAGGCAGCAGGGGGAAUUUUUGGACAAUGGGGGGAAACCCUGAUCCAGCCAUCCCGCGUGUGUGUGAUGAAGGCCUUCGGGUUGUAAAGCACUUUGGCAGGAAAGAAACGGCACGGAUAAUACCCCGUGCAACUGACGGUACCUGCAGAAUAAGCACCGGCUAACCACGCCAGCAGCCGCGGUAAUACGUAGGGUGCAAGCGUUAAUCGGAAUUACUGGGCGUAAAGCGUGCGCAGGCGGUUCGGAAAGAAAGAUGAAAUCCCAGAGCUUAACUUUGGAACUGCAUUUUUAACUACCGAGCUUUAGAGUGUGUCAGAGGGAGGUGAAUUCCCGCGUGUAGCAGUGAAAUGCGUAGAUAUGCGGAGGAACACCGAUGGCGAAGGCAGCCUCCUGGGAUAACACUGACGUGGCUCAUGCACGAAAGCGUGGGGAGCAAACAGGAUUAGAUACCCUGGUAGUCCACGCCCUAAACGAUGUCAACUAGCUGUUGGGGCCUUCGGGCCUGGUAGCGCAGCUAACGCGUGAAGUUGACCGCCUGGGGAGUACGGUCGCAAGAUUAAAACUCAAAGGAAUUGACGGGGACCCGCACAAGCGGUGGAUGAUGUGGAUUAAUUCGAUGCAACGCGAAAAACCUUACCUACCCUUGACAUGUCUGGAAUCCCGAAGAGAUUUGGGAGUGUCAAGAGAACCGGAACACAGGUGCUGCAUGGCUGUCGUCAGCUCGUGUCGUGAGAUGUUGGGUUAAGUCCCACAACGAGCGCAACCCUUGUCAUUAGUUGCUACGAAAGGGCACUCUAAUGAGACUCCGCCGGUGACAAACCGGAGGAAGGUGGGGAUGACGUCCUCAUGGCCCUGCGGGUAGGGCUUCACACGUCAUACAAUGGUCGGGACAGAGGGUCGCCAACCCGCGAGGGGGAGCCAAUCCCAGAAACCCGAUCGUAAGUCCGAUCGCAGUCUACAACUCGACUGCGUGAAGUCGGAAUCGCUAGUAAUCGCGGAUCAGCAUGUCGCGGUGAAUACGUUCCCGGGUCUUGUACACACUGCCCGUCACACCAUGGGGAGUGGGUUUUACCAGAAGUAGUUAGCCCGUCCGUAAGGAGGGCGAUUGCCACGGUAGGAUUCAUGACUGGGGUGAAGUCGUAACAAGGUAG